AGUAGACGAAACACUGAACUGGUUCAGGUUUUCAUAGAAAAAUUCUUUGCAAACCAGCUAACUUUCCAACAGCCUAACCUUGUAGAAUUAUUUCACAGCAAAUUAAAUAAAAUAUAAUUUUUUUAGUACUACAUGUACAACCUUAACAUAAAAUAAUAAUAACAGUGAUGACACCAUUGGUGCUGAUUUAUCUUCUCUCUGCCACAAUCUCUUUCUUGUCUUUGUGCAUGACCUUGUUUGUUUACACGCUACUACUUCCAUGGCUAGAGCUAAAGCACAAAGACGCACUCUUGACUCUUACACUGUUAAACCCAUCAACAAAACCGUUAAACCUGGAGAUUGCGUCUUGAUGCGGCCAGCGGAUCCGUCGAAGCCUUCUUACGUGGCAAAGAUUGAGCGGAUCGAGUCCGACGGUAGAGGGCCGAACGUGAGAGUACGGGUGCGGUGGUAUUACCGGCCGGAGGAAUCAAUCGGUGGUCGCCGGCAGUUUCAUGGCUCAAAGGAGGUUUUUCUAUCCGAUCAUUAUGAUACUCAGAGUGCAGAUACGAUUGAAGGGAAGUGUAUGGUUCAUAGUUUCAAGAAUUACACGAAGCUUGAUGCUGUUGGAAAUGAUGAUUUCUUUUGUCGUUUUGAGUAUAAUUCGUCUACUGGUGCUUUUGAUCCUGAUAGAGUUGCCGUGUAUUGCAAAUGUGAGAUGCCUUACAAUCCUGAUGACUUGAUGGUUCAAUGUGAAGGCUGCAUUGACUGGUUUCAUCCUGCUUGUAUAGAAAUGUCUGCAGAGGAAGCUAAAAGACUUGAUCAUUUCUUCUGUGAAAACUGCUCAUCUGAAGGCCAGAAGAAGCUGCAGAAUUCCCACAAUACCAGACAAUCAGAUGCAAAGCUUGCUGUUGUCCUAUGAUAAUGGGGAUUCUGUGCUUCCAACAGAGAAAGGGAUCCAGGUUGAAGUUGCAUGCGGAAACAAAGAGGCGCCGGAGGUGAUGAAGUAAAUAAAAUACAAAUGCUGAUGUACAAUGAUAGUAGAGGAACUGGAGCUCUGUUUUUAACCCUGGUUAGGCUUCAAGCAAACACGCAGGCAGAUACAUCUGCAUCACAAGCUGUUGUAUAUCUGUGAGUGAGUUCAUGGCAGAGGGAAACUGGCUUGAAAACCUUGUCAUGUGUAGAUAUCCUUGAUUUGGGGGUUAGUCACCCUGUCGAGGAUGUGUUUGGUUGUUUGUAGGUUAUGUGAUCAUGUACAUGUUUUUCACUCUGGUUUCUUGUUUCUAUAAACCAGGGCUGUGUAUAAUCCAAACUCGUUUAACUUGUAAAUAGAUACGCGUUUAUGCCUCUCUA